GACAGAGGGUGCAAACGUUGCUCGGAAUCACUGGGCGUAAAGGGCGUGUAGGCGGGAAGGAAAGUCGGGCGUGAAAUCCCUGGGCUCAACCCAGGAACUGCACUCGAAACUUCUUUUCUUGAGUGCCGGAGAGGAAAGCGGAAUACCUGGUGUAGAGGUGAAAAUUCGUAGAUAUCAGGUGGAACACCAGUGGCGAAGGCGGCUUUCUGGACGGUAACUGACGCUGGAGAACGCGAAAGCGUGGGGAGCAAACAGG
rnacentral:rRNA from 1 species